GUGGCUCCGGUUCACCCCUGUCGGCGAUCCCGUCGGCACAGCAGGGGACCCGGCGGCC
rfam:Pseudonocardia dioxanivorans CB1190, complete genome.